rnacentral:rRNA from 1 species
GAUGAACGCUGACAGAAUGCUUAACACAUGCAAGUCGAUGGGGAAGUGGUGCUUGCACCAUGGUAACCAUGGCGGACGGGUGAGUAACGCGUAAGGAACUUACCUGCGGGACCGGGAUAACAGCAGGAAACUGCUGACAAGACCGGAUAAGGUCAUUAAGCUGCAUAGCUUAGUGAUGAAAGGAGACGCCUGCGGAGAGCCUUGCGUCCUAUUAGCUAGUUGGAGGGGUAACGGCCCACCAAGGCGAAGAUAGGUAGCCGGCCUGAGAGGGUGGACGGCCACAAGGGGACUGAGAUACGGCCCUUACUCCUACGGGAGGCAGCAGUGGGGAAUAUUGGACAAUGGGGGCAACCCUGAUCCAGCAAUUCUGUGUGCACGAAGACGGUUUUCGGAUUGUAAAGUGCUUUUAGCAGGGAAGAAGGAAGUGACGGUACCUGCAGAAGAAGCGACGGCUAAAUACGUG